GACAGCAGGGAGACUCGCAGACUUAUUACCAAAAGCGCGAUUUAUCGACGGGAAUGUACGGCGUCGUGAGUCGAGCAUCACUGCUGCUGCUACCACAGUUGUGUGGGAAUCCGCCAGACUUUGGGGCUGAGAUCAGAAUCCCACAUCCUGUGGGUUGGAGUUGAAAUUUACUGCUGCUGCUAGAAUGGGGAGCUAAUACUUUCUUCCUCCAAAGCAGACGGCAAGAGGCUGCAAGUUCUGCAUUCAGUCAAGGCGAUCAAGACCGUGACAUUACUGAACACUUCAACUCCUGAGCUUCAGAACUGAACUCACGGUACCGAUGCCUACAAAUGGGCCUCAAAUGACGAAAGUUGAUGAAUCAUUAGCAGAAUUCAUUUCUUCUACACGGACUGGUCGAAGGGAUGCUCUACCUGACAUAACCGAUUCAGGGCCAGCUUCAAGAACAGACGUGGCCAAAAGCACUGUAGACGUGUCAAAAAGUUCGAUCAAACCCGAAGAUUGGAAUCAAUCAACAAGCACUGUUAAAGGAGCACAGCCUCCCCCUGGCAAAACAGCAAGCCAAGAGAAGACCCCCUCUAAGUGAAAGGAUGACUGAGAAUGUGGGUGGUGGGCAUGAAUCUAGUUUUGACCAUGCCCUAUGUAAUAAUCUCUGAAGAAGUGUCAUCCUUUCCCAUACAAAAAGGAUAAUUCAAAGAACUAUGUAAUUCAAAGAAAUUGAUAUAUAUACUAGAUUUAAUUUAUCUACACCAAUUAGCAUUGUUGAGUUUUUUGUUCUAAGCUCUGAUAUAUCAGCUACAGUACAUGAUAACUGGUAUUUGGAGAGUAAAAAUAAAAUAUAAAUAUUUGCAUUCAGUUGAAUAUUAUUUAAUAUCCACAGUUUGUUUGCUGUCUUUUGGAUUGCAUGGACCAUUAAUUACUGAUCCUUAUCAGUUUGUUACAAAAAGGUAAUCAAGGAGGCUAAAUAAUAUCAAUUAAACGCCACAACUCCACUAGAUGUCCCACAAGGUGAUGGGAUUCAUCUUUUCUUGUUAGACAGAAUUUUGUACAUCAUCAGCUAUUAUAUUUGCCCAUUUCUGGGUGUUUGUGGUGGACUUAUGAAUAGGAAACCGUUUCGGAACAGCGACUUCUGUAGAGGGACCACAAGCUACCUGAACUUGGAAAGCAACUGAAUUUAUUGCUGGCCAAGCAGACUGAAGAAAUGGUUCUGGUGCAGCCCAGAGUCUAAACCAGGCUAGGUAUAUAAGAGUGGUUUAUUCAUUGAUAUCCUGCACAGAACAUGAAGUAGAGGGAAAGAAAGAUAGCAUUAAGAGAGGGGUGAAAGUGAGAGCAUGUGCUCAGCAACCACUUGCUCACGUUUUUAAAACUGCUGUCUAGGUGGCAGUGUCACAAAUGUUCUUUCUCUUCUGGAAGAGUAAGGCAGCUCAAUUGGCUCCUGUCUACUUGCCACAUGUGAGGUAACUGGACACUCCAGUCUAAUUUAAACUUUGAUAGUCAUGUGUUCUAAUAGUUUCACUUAUUUCUACAGCAAACCCCAGCCUACUAAGUCUCAACUGACUUGCAAACGUAUAAUAUAAAUUAGUUCCUGUAUGUGCAUCACAGUGUUUGGUGAUUUGUACUCUGGACACCUCAAAGUUGAAUUGGUAUAGUUGCAUUGAAAAUCAAUAAAUAUCUGGAAUCAAAAGUUUUAAUCCACUUCUGAUGAUUCAAAGUUGCUAUUCCAAAUGAUUCUACACGUCUUGCACAUCUAAUUUAGAGAUACAGCGCGGAAACGGGCCCUUUGGCCCACCGAGUCCACGCCGACCAGCGAUCCCCGCACACUAACACUAACACUGUCCAACACUCGAGGGACAAUUUCCCAUUUUACCGAAGUCAAUUAAUCCACAAACCUGUACGUUUUUGGAGUGUGGGAGAAAACCGGAGCACCCAGAGAAAACUCACAGAGUGAACAAGCAAACUCCGUACCGACAGCACCCAAAGUCAGGAUCAAACCUGGGUCUCUGGUGCUGUAAGGUAGCAACUCUACCACUGUGCCCCCCGUGCUUAUCCAAUUGGAGACUACUCGUGUUCAAUGUGAGAUGGAUUAUCCAACCUAUUCCAAAAUUAGUUACUGAUCACUUGGUUAUCUUGCAAAAUAUUCUGUUUUCUCUCUCCAUCAAAGAAAUAGAUUUUUUUUUUCUUGAGAGAGAGUUCGUACAUCAGGAUGAGAAUUUUAAAAUCAAAGUGAGGCAUAAUUUAGGAGCCAGCAUAGGUCAUCAAGUAUAGGAGAAAUGGGACUUGCUUUGAAUGUGGAUACAUGUAACAGGGAUUUGAAAGACUUGAAGAAGGAGGGAAGUAAAAUGGGAAUGCCAGGCUGGGGAGAAGUGGUUUAGUUGAGUCUAAAGGUAACAAGAUAGAAUCAUAGUCAUACAGUGUGGAAACUGACCCUUUAGCCUAGCUUGCCCACACUGGCCAUCAUGUCCCAUCCACAAUAGUCUCACCUGCCUACGUUUGGCCCGUAUCCCUCUUAUCCCUGUACCUAUCUAGAUGUUUCUUAAACGUUGCAAUAGUACCUGCCUCAACUACCUCCUCCAUACACCUGCCACCUUUUGUGUGGAAAACAUUACCCCUCGGGUUCCUAUUAAAUCUUUCCCCACUCACCUUAAACCCCUGUCCUCUGUGUCCUUGGGUUCUCGAUUCCACAACUCUGGGCAAGAGACUCUGUUCAUCUACCCGAUCUAUUCCUCUCGUGGAUGAGACAAACUAUUUGGCACACAGGCAGUGAUAGGUGAUGCAUUGGAGGCUGCAAUGGGUGUUCCAAGUCAUAACAUGGGCAUGAUGUUCAAAUCGGAGGCUCAAAUGCGAUGAUGGGUUUGUGGGCAAUAGGUUUUGUUUUUUAGAUGGAUAUCAUGAAGAGAUUGUACAGCUGAGGAAAGUGGCUUCUGGUGGGGAUUGCAAGCUCUUCCAUCUCUCUUUCUAAUGCUACAUCAUAGUCACAUGGUCAGAGUCCAUGUGCAUUUGGAAGAAAUGUCUGCUUUUCAGACAAUGUAAGGCAGCAGCUGCCAAUUUAAUAGGGGAGGGGACAACAACAUCAUUUAUCAAAAGAUUAGUGGAAAUCCUGUUCAUGCUGCAUUAUUGAAGUUUCUAUUGAAAUUAUAGUACAAGCCAGAGGAAAAAAAAUCAUGUUCAUGUGCUAAAAGCAGAAUAAGGCCAUUUGACCUUUUCCUUUCUAUCCUUUUCAUAUGAUUUUUUUCCCCUCAGUCUUGAACCAUAUAUAAUUCCAAUAGAAACUUCAAUAAUGCAACAGGAUUUCCAAUAAUCUUUUGAGUCUAUUCCGCCAUUAAGAAUAAGGAAUAAGCCAUUUAGAACGGAGACGAGGAAACACUUUUUCUCACAGGGAGUGGUGAAUCUGUGGAAUUCUCUGCCUCAGAGGGCAGUGGAGGCAGGUUCUCUGGAUACUUUCAAGAGAGAGAGCUAGAUAGGGCUUUUAAGAUUGGGGAUGAUCAGCCAUGAUCACAUUGAAUGAUGGUGCUGGCUCGAAGGGCCGAAUGGCCUACUCCUGCACCUAUUGUCUAUUGUCAUUCAAUCAUGGCUGAUCUAUCUUCCCCUCUCAACCCCAUUCUCCUGCAUACUCCCCGUAACCCCUGACACCUGGACCAAUCAAGAAUCUAUCUACUUCUCCCUUUUAAAAAUAAAACCAUGAACUCCAAUACAAGAUCAACAGAGUGCUGAUGCUUGAUGGAUGGGAAUACAAAGCACCACCCUGAACCUGUGCAGUUUUACAUAGCAACUAGCAACAUAUUUCCAUGACCAUUUGGGCUUUUUUUCCCCAUUGGCACAGUGGGUGAUAUAAUGAAAUAAUUUAAAAUAAAGAAGUAUGUUUCAGGUUUUUAUCAGUUUACAGUGAAGAAUCUUAGAAUGGGUGGCCAGUGAGGCAAGGCUAUGGAGCAAAGAGAGAGAAGUCCUCAUGCUCAAAGGCAUGAGGCUUUAAGCUUAAUUUCCAGCAUAAAUGGUAUUGAUUGUGGCCAUGAAUUUCCGGCUGCAUUGAAGACGAUUCUUAAGCAUUGUAACAGAAGCUCAAUUAGCAUUUAUUCAAGGUGAGUUCCCUCUAUAUUUCCACCAAUGUUAAGGGUGUUCUGAUGAAAUGUUAGACCUUUGUUAACAUGUAGAAUGAAUGGAUGAAUAAUGACAAUAAGUAAUGAGUAAUAAUGACAAUACAAUGAGUAAUACAGCAUGGAAACAGGCCCUUCAGCUCAACUUGCCCAUACCGACCAACAUGUCCCAUCUACACUAGUCGCACCUGCCUGCGUUUGGCCCAUAUCCCUCUAAACCUGUCCUAUCCAUGUACACGUCUAAUUGUUUCUUAAAUAUUGUGUUAGUCCCUGCCUCUACCCUCCUCCAGCAUCAUUUACACAUCAUUAUCUUUGUGUGCUCCCAUUGCAUGGCCUUGAGUGCUCAAUGAUUAUCCUGCACAGCUAACAAUGUUGUAUAGGAAGGAACUGCAGAUGCUGGUUUACACCAAAGAUAGACACAAAAUUCUGCAGUAACUCAGCAGUAAGGAGGAAACUCUGGAGAAAAGGAAUAGGUGCAAUAACCUCUCUCUUUGUUCCCCCUCUGUGAUUCCCCCACGUUGACCAUUGUGGGCUCUUUGAUCAUCAGUGUCGGCUCCGAUCUGUUCUGUACCUUUUCAUACCUCUAGUUUCCCCUCUCCCCUGACUCUGAGUCUGAAGAAGGAUCUCAACCCAAAAUGGUCAGAGAGUAGGGAUAAAGAGGUGGUAAUCUAACAGGCAGCAUCUCUGGAGAAAAGGAAUAGGAUCGCGACCCAAAAUGGGUCUCUCUGUCUCUUGGUGCUUGGCCAAUGCUCGUGAAAACUCCUGCAAUUAAAAUGUAAGUUCUGUGUGGAACAUAACGGAAUCUGCUGCGAUCAUUCUUCCAAAGGAAUUCUACACAAGAGCGGAACUAUUAUGCUUUUCAGCUUUUUGAGUUUACCCUAAGUAUCUCAGCUGCGCUAAAGUUUCUAUACAAGGUAAACAAUGACCUAGUUGUAUGUGCUUCACAAUUCAGAGCUCAUUGAUAUUAACUAGUGUUUUGUAGAUGUAUAGAGGAUUACAUUUAUAUGCACACUACAUCACUGUUCCUUUGCUGCCAUGAUGAUAAUUAAUUGUCUUUUGAUUCUGAUUAAGUUGAAGCAUUGCCAACUCGUGUACAUGCCAACCCUGUCAAGUAUGCGUAGGUUAUUUUGUUCGAACCUAUAACAGAAACAGAGGUCCUAUUUUUAUCCACCAUUUGAGAAUCAGGAUUAUAUAUUUUGUAUAUUCAAGGUUCAUAUUCUCAACGUAUCAUAUUUAAAAGCAGUUUAAGUAGGCUUUAGAUUGGUAGUCUAUGAAUAUGCAGUAUUAGAGGCGUUAAACUAAUGACCAAGUCCAAUCACUCACAACUGGUGGGCUGGCAGUUGACUCCUGGCUAUUCCUGAAAAUUCCAUUUUAAGCAGGGUGCAAGGACACCAAAUUCACAUGCAGUUUCAUACCGUUUCAAGCAGGUUUCAAGACCACUAAAGAGAGCGAGUCGUGACCUCUCCCUCCUCCAUCUUGCAGAGACAGAGCCACGCCCACACUUCUGGGUUUUAUAGUCCCUCCCCCUCCCAGCAGAAGAGGCGUGGCCUUCAUGGCAUGAUUGACAGGAGCGAGAAUCCCAACAUUUUUUAAACAAUAAUAACUCUUAUUAUUCAUCGAUGGGAAAAAUCCUCGGCACCUGAUGAGCGGAGGGGGACUUCAAGUAAGAUGGCCAAAAAUCACAGCCGUUCAUGGUAGCGUUUAUCCUAAAAUCAAUAUACAACAUAAACAGGAAGUGGUCAAGAUUAGAAUUUUUAUUAUAUAGACAGCAAGGCAACUUUAGCAUUCUCAAACCAACUUUUCAAUUAGACAAGGCAUUCUCAAACCAACUUUUCAAUUAGGG